rnacentral:lncRNA from 1 species
GGUACUGUCAGCAGGCCUCAGGCAGAAGCAGACAAGAAGGGGCCUAAUAUUUAAAUAUGUGAAAAGCAGGCACAGCUGGAAGGCAGAGCAUCUAGAUCUCCAGAAAUCAAGGAUUCCACAUUUACUUUGAAUCCCUGGUUUCUUCCAAAAGGGAAAUGCCACAAGACUAGGCCGUGCAACAUUUCCGCAGUGCUCCUCGCUACAAAGACAUUCCCCUAAGGCUGGUGGGCAACUCAACACUCAGCUCAGUACGUGGUCAGCUCGUCCUCCAUAGGAGCCUUAUGCCUUGGUGAGUCUUGCUCUGUCACCCAGGCUGGAGUGCAGUGGUGUGAUCUCAGCUCACCACAACCUUCACAUCCUGGGUUCAAGCGAUUCUUGUGCCUCAGCCUCCCAAGCAGCUGGGACCACAGAGGAGAUCUCUGAAGAAAUUGCUGAUGAAAGUCCAACAGGCUCUUCCAGUUUGUCUGGUCGGUCACAUUUGCUGAAACCUGGAGGAAUUGUUAGUGGAAGCUCAACAGGCCUGACUCAGUCUGACUGUCCAUUCUUCUGGAAGCUGCAGAGAAAAGAAACCUGGAAACCUUAUAUGCUGACAAAAAGGGACACAAUUGGAUAUGAUGGUUAUUUUACCAAGGUUUUGAAAUGUCGUGCUUUCAAAUAUAAACAGACUGCUUUAAGGAAUCGAAGUUGACUUAUAGAGCCAAUAAAAGCCCUGCAGGAAAGCUGGCCUCAUACUUUGUCUACACAGUCUCUGUACAGGUUUCCUGACCUGUGAGAUGGAGCUUAAUUUCCCUCCCCUUGAGUACUUGGUGACUUGCUCCUGGCAGAUAGAAAGUGAAAGAAAUGAUGGAAUGUCACAUCCAAGAUUAGAGGAGUGGAUACACCUACAAGAUUAGGAGACUACAGCUUCUGUGUUGGGUUCUCUCUUUCUUUUUCAUAUUCUCUCAUUCUGAUUUCUCAUUCUGGGGACCAGCUUCCAAGUUGUCUGAGGAGCCUUAUGAAGAGGCUCACGUGGUGAGGAACGGAAAUUUACUGAAUAAGCUCAGAGGGAGAUUCUCCAGCUCCUUCAGAUGACUGCAGCCCUGGCCAACAAUCUGACUAUAAUUUCAUGAGAGAGUCAGAGAGGGAACCAUCCAGCUAAGCCACUCUCAGAUUCCUGACCCACAGAAAUUACGUGAGACUAAUGCUUGUUUAAAGCUGCUAAGUUUUAGGAUAAUUCAUUAUGUAGCAUUAGAUAACUAAUAUUAGUUCUUCUCUGUAUUUAAAUUUUUUCCCCCAAAAAAGAGAAAAAGCAUCUCUAUGUAAA